CUGCAGGGUCGAUUCUUGCCCAUCAUUCCCGCCACUCCCAUCUCCCGCCGCCAAGGCGGUGGGUCCUGCAGCCUCCACUCUUCUGGUGUGAGGUGGGGCGGGAGGGCGGAGAGCAGACGCGGAAGCUCCCGCCUCGCCAGCCACAGGCAGAACCCAGGGUUCAGGCUGGUUCCUCUCUCGGAGCUGGGCGGCCUGGAGCUUCAUCUCAACUCUGGGGCUGCAGCUCUAUUCCUAUUCUCUGGUUUGCUGACCCUGAGGAGCUGCAGCAGUCCAACAGGACAGCCUGGGGACACCUCGGGGCACAGCCCCGGGUCCUCCUCCUGGUCACCUCCACAUGCCUAUCACCUGGGCGCAGCCUUGGUCUUCCCGCUGUAGCUGUGGGACGUGGAGGCGGCGCCUGGGAGGUAAGACACAGUACCCAGCAUCUGCUCGGCAGCCCCGGGGCCCCUGACCCCCUCUGUCGCUAUUAAGGGCGCUAGGUCCCGAGGCUCCAAGAUGAUCACGAUUGCAUCAGCCAGACAGAAGCAGAGCUGGGAGCUGCGCGGCGAGCGAGCAAGCAAGACAAAGACGCCCGCGCCAUCUGUUUAUGCAAAGCGCUCUCCGCCCGGACCCCGGCAUCUCCCCGCCUGGCCCGGCUCCGGGCACAGGGUCAUAAGCCCGCUCCCACCCGGCGCUCCCGCCGCGCCUUGGCUUUUCCUCUCCCCAGCACCCAGAGGGGCCGCGGGGCGGAACAGGGAGGGGGCGGGGGUGUUGAUGUGAUUGGAGCGGACGCUGCUGUUUCUUCAAUAAUGGAUGGAGAUGAUGCGGACGGCGGAGCCGAGCCGGCCCGGAGAGGAGAGAGGAAUAAAAAUGGGGAAAGGAAGGAGUGGGGGCGGGAGACUCACCCAGGCGCGCGGACGCGUCACACUGUCAUUCGGAUACACGCCACCGCGCGGCUCACACCCAGGCACACGCCCACGCACUGUCACUGAGACACACACACCUGCAGGCAGAGAGCAACACACACUCACCAGUGGAUCUUUCUUAUUUUCACACAUACACAGUCCUGCAAGCAGAGACACACGCAACGCCCCCACGUGGGGCAAACCCAGGCAAGCAGAGUGCACAGACACGUAGACACACCAAAGCACAUGUGCACACCCAGAAACCUAGACACCCUGGGGCUUAGACAGACAGAAAUUAGAGAUGGGGGCUAGGGAGUAGGGAAUAGACAAAGCCCACAUAGACCCACUCAGAGGCACACACCUGGGGCUUUGAUAGACAUACCUCACCCAGGGCACACACAGACACACACAUACCACACGCCAGGGGUGCAGACCCCCAUGAUUGCCAGGAGCACAGAGAGCCCUGACCACGAACACCCACUCAGAGGCUGACACGUUUGCAGCAACUGCCGUCUGUGCCCUGCGGGGUGGAGUGUGGCGGAGAGGUCGUCAGGGUCUCCGAAGCAGGCCUUGUUAGCCUAGCAGUAUAAUGAGGUUGCAGUGACAGGAGACGCCUGGGGCUGUGGACUCAGAGACCUGUGGCCCCCAUUGACUGCCUACAAGCUUCCUUCCCUGCCUCAAGGGUAGGUGCAGCCACCUUGCGCCCCCCCUGAGCAGUAUACCCAGCAGUCCCCAACAGCCCCAACUCUUAGCAGUUUGGGAGAGGGGGCUGCACUAGGAGAAUCCUUGGUCCCCUACAUGGCUGUUGGUGGAGGUUUAAGAGAGGGUCACUCUGUACCCUAUCUUGUCCCCCAUACUGCCAAUCUUCUGACUUUAAGGUCCCCCUUUUAUGCCAAGAGUGGGGUGGGCAGUGAAGCGGAUUGAGGUGGUGCAGGUGUGUAUUUUACCCUAGUAUAUCAGCCCUUCCUCCAUCUGUUUUCAAUUCAGCGUGCUCCUUGGCCUAGACUUAUGACCUUUGCAGCAUGUGGCAGUAUCAUCCAUCACCCAGGCAGUGGCUUGUGGGAUGGAGGGUACUGGGGGCUCACACCCCGUGGCUACCACGCCUUCUCCCUGGACCUACUCUCCGGCCAGUGAGCUAGGGCUCAACAGUCCUAGCGAGUACUGAGAGGAGGCCCUGACCAUGGGGCUCAAUUGCAACACUGGGCUUGUGUCCCCACUCCUGCUACCCCAAUAUCCCUCCUUCGAGCUCAGCACAGCCUGUCUCCCCCCUCCUCCCGCCUCCCUUCUCUCGGGCCCUUUGCUUAAUUUCCUAUUAACUGCUGAUAAAUCCAAUUAAACCGCCACUCUAAUUAGGGACAGCUGCCGGCUCGGCGAGGCUAGGGAGGGGGGCGCCCCCCUAGCGUAGGGGGAGAACAGCCUUUCUCCCUGCUCCUCAGCACCAGCACCCCACACACCAACAUCGCCGACCAAUGAGCCAGUAAAUUGGUUUUGCUUCAGCAUUGUGGGGGGCUCUCUCGAGAAUCUGGGGGGCUCCGAUGUUUUGAGUUCCUCAGACCUUGAUGAACAGAGGCGACUCGAGCACUCGUAGUCCCUCCUCUCACGUAUUUGUGGUAGGCAGAUCCCAAGGAAGGAUGGGGGCAAAAGGCUUGAUGUGUAUGGUUGGCGUGUGUGUGUGUGUGUGUGUGUGUGUGUGUGUGUGUGCGUGCGCGCGGGCGCAGGGGCUUGUGAUCUACUCAUAUUCCAGCCGAGUUGAGAUUCAAGGGGGUCUUCCUUUAUGACUCCGCAGCUGCUCCUCAGGCAUCCGGGACAGUCAAGGGCAAAGGGAACAGAGAACCGAACCCGGUUCCGCAGUCUUCUGGUGUGUGCUUCCCUACCCCCAUCACACCUCAGCCUUCUGGAAGGAGGGGGGGUGCGCCCGUCCUGGGCCCUCCUCUUCCCCAGCCCAGCUGAGCCUCUGCCCUCCCCCCGCCAGCAGCAGAUGGUGCCUGGACUCCCGCUGCCAACCUUGCUAGGCGGUGCCAACCUCAGUCCUGGCAGACAACAGGCAGACAAGAAGAGGAGCUCCUGGCUAGCCAGGCCGACCCUCCCCCACCCUCCCCAAACUCAAGACCCUCUGCCUGAUCCACUCAAGCGACUACCCCAGCCUGCCUCUUACUGGUCCACUCCCAGGUCCCCAAACUCCUCGUCUCCUUCUGCUCCCUUCCCCACACCUUCCCGGUCCUCACCACCUGCCGCCCUGACCAGGCCGACGUAUUUGCAUAUUUACAUAUGCAAAUGACAUCAUUUGCAUACGGUGCUCCACAGGGGGGCGUCUCCGCGAGAGCCCGUUAGCUGUCUGCCCAGCGUCCUCAUUCCGUACCUGUCGGAAGGGCUGGGGCAGGAGCAGCACGGGAGGGGGUAGCCCCCCCCCCGCCCCCGGCCUAGCUAGCUCAGUUCCCAGAGGACUUGAGGAAGUGUUGCCAUGGUGACGGCACGCACCCCACCCCCUCCCAGGCCUAGGGUCUCGGGCUUGGUGUCUCCGGUUCUCUCCCCUUACCCACCCUCCACUCCCUCCCUAGCCCUCGCUCUCCAACCGAGAUCUUGCAUCGCCCCCUGGCGGCUUACUCGGCGCUGAGCCAGUUCACGGUUGUAAUCCCAGCACUUUGAGAGGUCGACGUGGA